UUAAUCUGCCCGGCUGCCGGGCCCCGGCUCGGCGGCCGUCCUGACAAAAGCAGGCCGAGGCGGCACGGUGGCGGGGGAAGGCGCGGCGGCCCGGGCGAACCCCGGCAGCAACCGCCGGCCUCCCGGCGAAGCGGCACCGGGAAGCGCGUUAGGAACAGCAAAACAGAAUUCAGAAGUGCAAGAUAAGUUUGGUGUCCAAUCUUUAAGCAGCUUUUAAGAGAGGUGCUGAAGACCGACUGCAGAUGGCUGGAGCAGGAAGAGGAAUGGGAGGGUGAAAUGCUACUCUUUGCCUAUCUGUCCUUAAGAAGGAAGCAAAGCAACAUCUCACUGCGGCCAGUUCUGUGCGAACAGGGAAAGUGGUGCAAGAGGAAUGGAGACUUCAUGGAGACCUCUGUAGGAUCAGCUUUCAGAAAGAGUUAAGUCCUAUGUCGAGCCUUCAGCAGCGUUAAGGUUCUGAGACUCUGUACUUAGGAAAGCAGAUGAAUUUGGCAUUUCUCAGCAUUUUUAAGAAAUAUGUGUUCAAGAAAUUGUAAUCUCUCAAUAUCUUGAGAAAUUGGGACCCAGUCCAGUUUCCGCAUUCUGCAUCAACCUCACCUUCAAGACCCUGGUUGGCUUCUGAAAAAUCUCUCAAAUUUUUUAAAGUAUUUUUCAGCAGAGGAUUUAUUUCAAAGGUUACCGCCACAGCUGUCAAAUAGCAGUGACAAAAUGUAGUUUUGAGCUUUUAUUACUUGUGUAUGCAUUUGCAUUUCUCCUUAAUUGCAGCAAAACAGAUGUCACUUUUUUUCAGAGUGGGAGAAAAAACAGAAGGGUCCUAAAUAUUUUCCUACAGUAAUGGUGAUUUGAACAUGAUAUCAUUUUCCUAGCGUAUGAAAUGCAGACAGUGAGAUGAUUGAUAAUCCUUUUUUUAUUCAAUAGUGGUGAUUGCAAAAAUGAGUAUAAGCCUCAAAUUAAUAGCAAAGGCUGUCAGUAUCACUGGUUAUAUCCAGUUAAUUUUUAAAACAUUGAAGGGAAAUUGUUCACUUAUUCUAUGUAGAUUGAAAAAAAAAAUAAUCUGUAGAAGGUUAUAAUCUUAUUUACCAUCAAAGACUGGAGGAGGAGCAGUAAAGGAAGGUCUUGUGUAAAUCAAUACGGACAUUGAUACAUUUGUUUUCUGAUUAAAUAGACUUUUCAUUUGGAAGAGCUAUAGUGCACAAAACAAAAGAGAAAUACUGAUGAAGGUAAAGUUGUUUCAAAACUUUAUUAUUUGGGGGGGGCAUGGUGUAUAUUAAUCUAAUAAAUGGAACCAAACCAAAA